rnacentral:tRNA from 1 species
GGGGAUAUAGCUCAGUGGUAGAGCGUAUGCUUUGCAUGUGAAAGGCCCCGGGUUCGAUACCCGGCAUCUCCA